AUUAAGCCAUGCAUGUUUCCGCAAUCAGGGACGAAUAGCUCAGUAAAACUGCGAUGAUUUAGUCUGGCUGUGUAGAUAACUACGUGAAAAUGUAGCUAAGGGAAGGCAGAAUAAGACGCAGGACUAUCAGUUAGUUGGUAGUGUAAUGGACUACCAAGACAGUGACGGUUGACGGGAAAUUAGGGUUUUGUACCGGAGAGGGAGCCUGAGAGAUUGCUCCCACGUCCAAGGACGGCAGCAGGCGCGAAAAUUGCCCACUCUUUGCAGGAGGCAGUUAUGAGACGUGAAGAUGAGUAUCUUGUAAAGAGGGAUAGGAGAAUUGGAGGGCAAGUUUGGUGCCAGCAGCCGCGGUAAUACCGACUCCAAGAGUGUGUAUGAGAGAUGCUGCAGUUAAAAAGUCCGUAGUCAUAGAAGGGCAAAGAGAGAUGCGAGGUCUCACAGUGCGAUGAUGGAGGAGCCGAUGGGGAACAUAGUAUACCAGGGCGAGAGAUGAAAUGCCAAGACCCCUGGUGGACUGAGCGAGGCGAAGGCGAUGUUCUUGUAGGCAUUCGGUGAUCGAGGACGAAGGCUGGAGUAUCGAAAGUGAUUAGAUACCGCAGUAGUUCCAGCAGUAAAAGAUGCCGACAUGCUCAUUGGACACAGUGGGCAGGGAGAAAUCUUAGAGUUCGGGCUCUGGGGAUAGUAUGCUCGCAAGGGUGAAAAUUAAAGAAAUUGACGGAGCUACACCACAAGGAGUGGAUUGUGCGGCUUAAUUUGACUCAACGCGAGGAAACUUACCAGGGCCAAGUAUUGUGUAGAAACGAGCAAUACAGGAGUGGUGCAUGGUCGUUGGAAAUUGAUGGGAUGACUUUGACCUUAA
rnacentral:rRNA from 1 species